AUUGAACGCUGGCGGCAGGCCUAACACAUGCAAGUCGAGCGGAUGAAGGGAGCUUGCUCCUGGAUUCAGCGGCGGACGGGUGAGUAAUGCCUAGGAAUCUGCCUGGUAGUGGGGGAUAACGUCCGGAAACGGGCGCUAAUCCCGCAUACGUCCUGAGGGAGAAAGUGGGGGAUCUUCGGACCUCACGCUAUCAGAUGAGCCUAGGUCGGAUUAGCUAGUUGGUGGGGUAAAGGCCUACCAAGGCGACGAUCCGUAACUGGUCUGAGAGGAUGAUCAGUCACACUGGAACUGAGACACGGUCCAGACUCCUACGGGAGGCAGCAGUGGGGAAUAUUGGACAAUGGGCGAAAGCCUGAUCCAGCCAUGCCGCGUGUGUGAAGAAGGUCUUCGGAUUGUAAAGCACUUUAGGUUGGGAGGAAGGGCAGUAAGUUAAUACCUUGCUGUUUUGACGUUACCAACAGAAUAAGCACCGGCUAACUUCGUG
rnacentral:rRNA from 1 species